rnacentral:rRNA from 1 species
UCGUGCGAGAAGUACCCUCCGGGGUGCGAGUAAAGCGGCGGACGGGUGAGUAACACGUGGAUAACCUACCUUUGAGACAGGGAUAACUAUCUGAAAAGAUAGCUAAUACCGGAUGUGGUUCAUCCCCCAUAAGGAGGAUGAAUUAAAGAUGGCCUCUAUUUAUAUGCUAUCGCUCAUUGAUGGGUCCGCGGCCUAUCAGCUUGUUGGUGAGGUAAUGGCUCACCAAGGCUAUGACGGGUAGCUGGUCUGAGAGGAUGAUCAGUCACAGUGGAACUGAGACACGGUUCACACUCCUACGGGAGGCAGCAGCCAAGAAUCUUGGGCAAUGGGCGAAAGCCUGACCCAGCAAUACCGCGUGGAGGACGAAGGCCCUCGGGUUGUAAACUCCUGUCAGAAGGGACGAAGGUUUAGAGCUGAAUAAUCUCUAAAGUUGACGGUACCUUCAAAGGAAGCCCCGGCUAAUUACGUGCCAGCAGCCGCGGUAAGACGUAUGGGGCAAGCGUUGCUCGGAUUAACUGGGCGUAAAGGGCAUGUAGGUGGUGUUAAAAGUCAAAUGUGAAAUCCCACGGCUUAACUGUGGACCCGCAUUUGAAACUUUAGCACUUGAGUUCAGGUGGGGUGAAUGGAAUUCCAGGUGUAGGGGUGAAAUCUGUAGAUAUCUGGAAGAACACCAGUGGCGAAGGCGAUUCACUAACCUGAUACUGACACUGAGAUGCGAAAGCGUGGGGAGCGAACAGGAUUAGAUACCCUGGUAGUCCACGCCGUAAACGAUGGACACUUGGUGUUGGAAGAGUUAAAUCUUCUAGUGCCGUAGCUAACGUGUUAAGUGUCCCGCCUGGGAAGUACGAUCGCAAGAUUGAAACUCAAAGAAAUUGACGGGGGCCCGCACAAGUGGUGGAGCAUGUGGCUUAAUUCGAUGAUACGCGAGGAACCUUACCAGGGUUUGACAUGUAUCUGACUGUCUCUGAAAAGGGAUUUUCCUUCGGGACGGAUACACAGGUGCUGCAUGGUUGUCGUCAGCUCGUGCCGUGAGGUGUUGGGUUAAGUCCCGCAACGAGCGCAACCCUCAUUCUCUGUUGCCAUCAGGUCAUGCUGGGCACUCUGAGAAAACUGCCGGUGACAAACCGGAGGAAGGUGAGGAUGACGUCAAAUCAUCAUGGCCCUUAUACCCUGGGCUGCACACGUGCUACAAUGGAUGGUACAAUGGGUCGCAAUACCGCGAGGUGGAGCUAAUCCCAAAAAACCAUCCCAAGUUCGGAUUGAAGGCUGCAAUUCGCCUUCAUGAAGUUGGAAUCACUAGUAAUCGCGCAUCAGCUACGGCGCGGUGAAUGCGUUCCCGGGCCUUGUACACACCGCCCGUCACACCAUGGAAGCCGAUUAUACCCGAAGCCGGUGUAUCAACC